rnacentral:lncRNA from 1 species
AGACCGUGUCUCUCUGUUGCCCAGGCUGGGGCGCGGUGGCUCAAUCUCGGCUCACUGCAACCUCUGCCUCCUGGGUUCAAACAGUUCUCCUGCCUCAGCCUCCCAAGUAGUGGUGGCGUGCGCCACCACGACCAGCUAAUUUUUGUAUUUUUAGUAGAGACGGGGUUUCACCAUGUUGGCCAGGAUGGUCUCGGUCUCUUGACCUCGUUGUCCGCCUGCCUCAGCCUCCCAAAGUGCUGGGAUUACAGGUGUGAGCUACUGUGCCCGGCCAUCUCUACCAGAUGUUUUAAAGACACCUCACAUCCCUCCUGUCCAGUACCAACCCCAGUAUCUCACCACUCAGUCUCUCCCUCCAGUCCCUUGGCCUACCCUUGACAUGUUCAUUGUUCUUUAAUUCCUUUAACAGUCUUCUAUCACAUUGGACGUUUACCUCUCCCUCACACUUUGUGUCUUACCUGUUACCGUCUUGCCACCUCUACUUCCUACAUUUCUCUGUAACCCAUCCAUGUCUUUCCACCUCUAAUGUCAUCAUAUUCAAAUUAUUGCCAUCUCGCACCUGGGUCAUUACUUCUAUUUUUAUUUUUUGAGACAGGGUCUUACUCUGUCACCCAGGCUGCAGUGCAGUGGCAUGAUCAUAGCUCACUGCAGGCUGGAACUCCUGGGUUCAAGCGAUCUUCCUACCACAACCUCUUCAAUGGUGGGGACUAUAUAGGUGUGCACCAUCAUACCUGGCUAAUGUUUUAAUUUUUGUAGAGACAGGGUCUCCUUAUGUUGUCCAAGCUGGUAUUGAACUCCUGGGCUCAAGUGAGCCUCCUUCCUGGCCUACCAAAAUUCUGGAAUUGCAGGUGUGAGCCACCGUGUCCAGCCCUGACCCAUUGUAUCAUCCUAACUGAUACCCCUGCAUUCACUUGGUACUCUCCCGUCCAUUUUCCACAUGGCAACCAGGAUGAUAAUUUUAAAACACAUUUAAUCAUGAUAUCCUCUUGCUUAAAGCUCU